CCCUUAGAUGUUCUGGGCUGCACGCGCGCUACACUGAUGCGCUCAACGAGUUUUAACCUUGCCUGGAAAGGUUGGGUAAUCUUUUUAAAACGCAUCGUGAUGGGGAUAGAUUAUUGCAAUUAUUAAUCUUCAACGAGGAAUUCCUAGUAAGCGCGAGUCAUCAGCUCGUGCUGAUUACGUCCCUGCCCUUUGUACACACCGCCCGUCGCUCCUACCGAUUGAGUGCUCAGGUGAAUAAUUCGGACUGCAGCAAUGUUUGGAUCCCGAACGUUGCAGCGGAAAGUUUAGUGAACCUUAUCACUUAGAGGAAGGAGAAGUCGUAACA
rnacentral:rRNA from 1 species